AUACCUUUCUCGGCCUUUUGGCUAAGAUCAAGUGUAGUAUCUGUUCUUAUCAGUUUAAUAUCUGAUACGUGAGCUAUUAGCUCACAUGAUAUUAAAUUAAUUUUUUUUGGGAGAGAGCUCGUAACAGUAGCUUGCUACUGGAGUUCUCGAGCGUCGCCUGUGCGUUGCACUACUGCACUGGCUAGGCGCAUCCCAC
rnacentral:snRNA from 9 species